GAUGAACGCUGGCGGCGUGCCUAAUACAUGCAAGUCGAGCGAACAGACGAGGAGCUUGCUCCUCUGACGUUAGCGGCGGACGGGUGAGUAACACGUGGAUAACCUACCUAUAAGACUGGGAUAACUUCGGGAAACCGGAGCUAAUACCGGAUAAUAUAUUGAACCGCAUGGUUCAAUAGUGAAAGACGGUUUUGCUGUCACUUAUAGAUGGAUCCGCGCCGCAUUAGCUAGUUGGUAAGGUAACGGCUUACCAAGGCAACGAUGCGUAGCCGACCUGAGAGGGUGAUCGGCCACACGGGAACUGAGACACGGUCCAGACUCCUACGGGCGGCAGCGGUAGGGAAGCUUCCGCAAAGGGCGAAAGCCUGACGGAGCAACGCCGCGUGAGUGAUGAAGGUCUUCGGAUCGUAAAACUCUGUUAUUAGGGAGGAACAAGUGUGUAAGUAACUAUGCACGUCUUGACGGUACUUAAUCAGAAAGCCACGGCUAACUACGUG
rnacentral:rRNA from 1 species